CGGGGCACGGGUUGCGGGGUGCCGGGUGCGGGCGCGGGGCGCCGUGUGAUGGGCGCGGGCGCGGAGUGCGCACCCCAGCUGGCCGGUGGCGGGCGCCCUCUAGAGUCCAAGGGACGCGGGCAGAGCAGCGCGGCGCCUUCCCUUUCCCUGCUCCUCCUUAUGCAGGUUUUCUUCUUUCCCGUCGUGUAACAUCUAUGUGAAAUCCACUUCAUGGAAAGAUGUGAGGUUUGCCCUCCUGAGACCGCUUACAUCUGUUUAAAGGAUAAACACACGCACCGCGCGAUCCGCUUCUAUCCGUUUCUCCGCUCAGAGCGGCCUUAGUUGAUUUCACAGCUGAGUCGGUUGUGUUCGCCCAGACACAGGAGUGAGCGGCCCUGCCGUGCGCUGCGCCGAGGGCGCUGUGGCUCUGUGGAUGUGUGCGCUCGAGUGCAGCCGCCCUCAGAGACCGGAAGUGUCCCCGAGCCACCUGACCUGCACCCUGGGAGGAGGCCCGGAGUCCUCUGCAGAGCGGCAGGAGCUGGCUGGAGAGGUGGCUGGGAGGUUAGGAGGGCCGGCUGCUCCUCCAGAGGACCCGAGUUCACGCCCCAGCACGGCGGCGCACACUCAAUGGUGGUCUGGUGCUGUCUUCUGACAUGAAAUGAACGUGCAGACAGCACUCAGAUACAUACAAAUAAACGGCAAGUAAACAUUAAAGGAAAAAGAGCAGCAGGAACCCUAGGCCACCAGGCCAUCUCUCUACCCGGUCUGCUGCUGCUUUCUUUUAUUCACUUCUAUUUAUUAAUUUUUGGGUUUUUGAGACAGGGUUUCUCUGUGUAGCCAGGCUGGCCUAGCGCUCACACAGAGCCUCUGCCACCCAGGUGCUGGGCUCACAGGCAUUUGCCACCUCGCCCGGCUGCUGCUAUUUUCUUACCGUCAUUUCCACUGUGGUGAGACGGAAUCUCAUUGUAGCUUGGCAUUUCUCUGAUGGCUGAUGAGGUUGAACCUUGUCCAUGUCUGUUGGCCAUUUGGGCUUCAUCUUUCAAGAACUGGCUGUUCAUUUCAUUGGCCCAUCUACUUACUGAGAGGCUUUUUGAUUUAUUAUUUAGUUUUAGGAGGUUUUUGUGUGUGUGUUCUAGGUAUUAAUCUUCUGUCAGAUGGGUAGGCAGAGGGUUUUCUGGGAGAGUAACAUCAUUGGUGCUGGCUUUGAAGCUGUGCCCGGCUGGCAUGGUGUCCUCCAGGACCCUAGACCUGCCCAGAGCCCCACCGUGACUGGAGGGUUCAGUGGGCAGUCCACCACCUAGGUCAUUUCCUGUUUUGCUUCUCUUGGUUUAAGUGUUUUUCCUUCUGUACUGAUUACUUUCUGUUGGUUGUGCCCUGUCGGAGGCUUAUGAUAUGGAGACAAGGAGAGCAUAAUAUUUAAAAAGUCUGAGUUCAGUGGGGGGGGGGGGGGGGGGCGUGGGCGUGGGCGUGCCCACGGCUCAGUAGGUAAAGCUGCUUGCUGCCAAGGCUAAUGACCUGAGUUUAAUUCCCAGAACCCACUUGGAGAGAACCAACUCCUUCAACUAUCCUCUGACUUCCUCUGCACACUUGCUCACCACCCACAUUAAGUAAGAGUAAAAAUGUUAAAAGUCAUGCACUCAGAAAGCCAGUGUCCUUGCCCACCGCUUAUGGAGUGUGUCUCUUUGGAAAAAUAACUAUCUCGUCAAGCCUGCUGUGUCCCCUGUAAAGUGACAAUAGUGACAGUUCCUUACACCAGGGACCCCCGGUGUGAAAUCCGAAUGUCGAGAAAUCUGGCACAUACUUCACGGAUCGCUGUGGGAGUUCCUUCCGCUUGUGUGCUGCUUUUUUUUUUAUAGAUCUCUUUCUCCCUACUCCACCCCAGUCCCUUCCCACACCCCAGCACCAGGUAGGAGGAGAAAGGGUUGGUGGGAUAUGGGCCACAGUUCUCUCUGCUGCUUCCUGCUGGCCAGGGUCCUCGGGUUCCUUGGAGCCAGUGCAAUCCUCGGUUCAGCAGAUCUCCAACUUCUCACAGCAGCAACCAGGAGCCGCAGGGGGAAGCAGCAGCCUUGUUCGUUCUCUCAGCUCCACUCUCUGGGCUCUGGCAUUUAGUCUUUCUCCAGAGUCCUCAGAUUUAAACUCUCUGCAGCUGGGAAAGAGCCUCUCUCAGAGCUCGCGUGAGGCACACAGUCUGCUGCUGUGACCAUCUGAAUCAGCCCCACGUCCCACACCUGGGACCAACACAAACUAUAUUAUAUACACAUCAUGCUUGUUAAAUGUCAGGUGCCACUGUAACUCGCCCCACAAAUAUCACCACACAGUGCUUUGGCUCUAGUCUGUCUCCUAAAGUUCCCAUUGCACAAAGUAUUGAAUUAUUUUUGUCUCAAGGUAGCUGGUACAUGUGCUGAGAAUCAUUUUAAUUCUCACAGUUAGAUCUGAGAUAGCAUUCCCUUCCAUGACAUCAUCUGUGACUGUGUCUGUAUGUUUGUGAAUGUAUAGUGUGUCUAUGUGUGCUGGGAGAGUUGUUGCAGAAAGCUAUUCUCUGAGCAAAACAGCCACCUUCUUUCUUAGACCAGCUGUGCCAGUUUGCAAGCACCCCGGGCUUGUUGCUGGGUAGAGAAGGCCCCCGGAGCCCAGCCGAGGGUCCAGCCGCUCCUAGCCAGGUUUACUGGGUUCUGCUCUGAUUGCACGCGGCCUUGGCAUCAUGGGUAGAGUCUAUAAGCUGCGGGUGUGGGGAGCGUCAAGGAAGAGGGGCUUCAGUUGUGGCUGUGGAGGAGCUGUUGCCCGUGCUGGCUGAGGACUUCGCUCUGCUGCCGCUAACCUCCCUCACGCUCCGUACGCGUGCUCAGUAAGCUCGUCGGUUCCGAGGCCAGGGAAAUGGCCCAGCAGGCUAAGCGCUGGCUGCUCUGGCAGAGGACCAGGUCCAGGUCCAGCGCCCACACGGGAGCACACAGUCGUCUGUAACGACAGUUCUAGGGCACCCGGCGCCCCUUCUGACGUCCAGGGCACAGGGCAAAGACGUGUACAUAAAGGAAUGCUGGUAAAUAUUCAUAAACACAACUAAAUCCGCAAACGUCACACGGACUUCAUUUGGCCGAUUCAGUGUUGUCUCGAGGCUGUUCCUGUCUGCUAACCUAGGCCUAGUCCUGGGUGCACGCUAACCUAGGCCUAGUCCCGGGUGCACGCUAACCUAGGCCUAGUCCCGGGUGCACGCUAACCUAGGCCUAGUCCCGGGUGCACGCUAACCUAGGCCGAGACCGUUUUCUGCCUCUGCGACUUCCUGCUGAAUGAGCUCACCCUUUCUUGUUCCUACUGAACUCUGGGCUGGCUGGUUCAACUCAGCUGUUCUGGCUCACUCUCCUCUCCCAGCUGCCCUAGUCAACCUGGCUUCUCUCUCAGACCCGGAAUUGCUCUGCUUGGCCUCAAAUUAUCACCAGCAAUCUGCUGGGUCCUUCUCAUUCUCUGGUUCAUUCAGUCUGCACCUGAGCUCUCUCUCUGCAACCUGUCUCUCUAUUCCUGUCCCAGUAAAACAGCUUUCUCUCUCUCUUUCGCUCUUUCUCUCUCUUUCUUUCUCUCUCUCUCUCUCAUUGCCCCGUAAGAAGCUUCCCUUUCCUCUCCUCCUGAGAGCUGGGCGUAUCCUAUUCUGUCAGCCUUUCCCUGAUUCAUCACUGUUUCUGCCACUCAUUUAGACAUCACUUUCAAACAUGGAUGCUUCUUUCUACAAACUAACUUUCCAAACUUCAUUAUUUGAGAUUAAGGGAGUGCACUACCACACCUGAAUCUAAGCUUUUCUUUACCUGAAACCUGCUCUGUACCAGGCUGGCCUUGAACUCGGAUCUGCUGGCCUCUGUCUCCUGGAUUAAAGGUGUGUUUGUAUCCAGCCAGAUCACAGGGACCUAGAAGGUCUUUGGAUGUGCUCUCCUGCCAGAGCAGCCAUGUUCUGAAUCAACAUUCCUCUACAUAAAAACAAAACAACAAACCCAACUCAGUGGUUCCCCAAGGUGAACUCUGGUGGACUCAUGCUCUGGUUUGUCCUUGGGAUUUUAUGGGGAAUGGGCAGCUUCUCAUCUCCCCAGGGAAGCGAUUCUUGACUCGUGGAUGGUGGGCCAUGAAGUCAGAAUAAUUGUGGGGUCCGUUCUACCAGCUCUCAGCUGAGGUUUUGUCCUCUCUGAUGACUCAAACUAGCCAGCAAGCUUAAAGAGGUGUCUUGUGAUGUAAAUGAAGUCUAAACAUGAAUUUAAUUUGUGCUUCAUUUACACACUUUUCUACAAAAGACUUUGCUUGUUUGAGACAGGGUCCCUGUCCACAGCUUGGAGAUUCUGAGUCACCUACAGGUGGCAGUGUUUGCAACCUGAGGCUUCAAACUGUAGUGUCAGGUCAAGACAUCGUACCUACACCUUUAUUUGAGAAAAUAAAAUUUUAAAAAGGCCCCAGCCAGGUGUGGCAGCCUAUGUCCGUAUGUAUGCGCAGCACCUGGGAGCUGAGGCAGGAAAAGUCCGAGAGCAGCCUGGGGCUGAGUGGGUUUGAGACUGGCCUGGAUUACCGGAGAGGCUGUCUCCCGAAGAGGUGAGACUGGCCUGGAUUACCGGAGAGUCUGUCUCCCGAAGAGGCGAGAAGGGGAGACGGGGCUGAUUGCAGGGUUCAGUGGAUAAAAUGUGGAAAUGAGGAGCUGAGUUUGGGUCCUCAGAGCCACUCAAAACUCCGGGGACAGUGUUGCCCCUCCGUAACCCCAGCCUUGGAGGGCAGAGACGGUGACGGCCAGGGCUCACUGGCCAGCAAGCCCCAGGCCAGUGAGAGGCGCGGUCUCAAACACUAAGGUGGGACAGGGUAGCGGAAGGCGCCUGACGCCGACUGACGCCGACCUCCAACACCAACAUGUGUAGGCGACCAAACAGGACACACGGUGCACAGCUCUGUAGCCACGCAGACCUGUUCUUCUCUGCCUCGUGGACCAACGGUCUGUGUGUGUGGAAGGCCAAAGAGUUAGAUUAAGAUGGCAGGUUUCAAGUCCUCCCUGCUGCCUUUCUUCCCCUUUCAGGAAAGCUCAGAGCGUAGCGUGCCAGCCCGUCCCUUGCUGCUGACAGAUCUGUGGGGUCCCCUUUCUCAUGGCAAGCGACACGAGGGACAUCUUGAGGCGUCCUCAAGCACAGGUUCCUAAAGCAUGAUCUGGGUCACAGGACCGAAACAGUUCCCAUAACGACGACGGCAGGUUAUUUCGGGGUGAAUGCACAGCGGGGCUUCCCGAGACCGUGACGCUGUUGUGACAGGCGACUGCCGACAGGUGGCGCUCUGCGUGUUCUCUGCGUAGCUGAGGGAGAGGGUUGGAACAAUUACCACACAGUGACACCUCUCUUUCAUUUUGGAAAACAGAUUGUUAUUACGGUUUACUCGAGGUGUGUACGUGUGUGUAUAGACAGCAGAGGACAGUUUCCGGGGAGUCAGUUUUCCUCCUCCACCGAGGGGCUCAGGGAUCAAACCCCAGUUGUCAGGCUUGGCACAAACACCCUUCGCUGUCUCAGCCAUCUUGCCAGACUACAUUUAUAUUUUUUGUUUGUUUUGGGUUUUUUUGUUUUGUUUUUUAUUUUUUAUUAAUUACAGUUUAUUCACUUUGUAUCCCCCCAUAGGCCCCUCCCUCCUCCCCUCCUGGUCCCACUCUCCCUCCCCCUUCUUCAUGCCUGCCACUCCCCAAGUCCACUGAUAGGGGAGGUCCUCCUCUCCUUCCUUCUGAUCUUAGUCUAUCAGUUCUCAUCAGGAAUGGCUGCAUUGUCCUCUUCUGUGGCCUGGUAAGGCUGCUCCCCCCUCAGGGGGAGGUGAUCAAAGAGCAGACCAAUCAGCUUAUGUCAGAGGCAGUCCCUCUUCCCAUUACUAUGUAACCCACUUGGACACUAAACUGCCAUGGGCUACAUCUGUGCAGGGGUUCUAGGUUAUCCCAUGCAUGGUACUUGGUUGGAGUAUGAGUCUCUGGGAAGACCUCUGUGUUCAAAUUUCCUGGUUCUGUUGCUCUCCUUGUGGGGUUCCUGUCCUCUCCAGAUCUUACUAUUUCCCACUUCUUACAUAAGAUUCCCUGCACUGUGCCCGACAGUUGGCCAUAAGUCUCAGUGUCUGCUUUGAUAGAAAAAUAUGGAGCGCUUCACGAAUUUGCGUGUCAUCCUUGCAGGGGCCAUGCUUAUCUUCUCGGUGUCGCUCCAAUUGCAGUAUAUGUGCUGCCGAAGCGAGCACUGUUCUAUUUUUGAUCUUGUUUUUUGAGACAGGGUUUCCCUGUGUAGCCCUGGCUGUCCUGGACUCCCUCUGUAGACCAGGCUGGCCUUGAACUCAGAGAUCGCCUGCCUCUGCCUCCCGAGUGCUGGGAUUAAAGAUGUGUGCCACCAUUGCUAGGUUCGGUUUUCAUUUCCAGUGAGGGAAAUAAGUGUCGAUAUUUUCCUUCACGCAAGAUGGGUAAUGGGUUGGCAACAAAGCCUGAGGAACGCAAUCUGGAAACAAGUCCUGGAAAUCCAGUCGCCACACUUGCAGACAGACAGGGCCGCAGUCAUUUCUUUAGAGUGUGAUGGAGGCUGGGGGAUGGCUCAGCGGGGAAGAGGACCUGGGUAUGGACCCAGCGGCCACAACCAUCCGGAACCCCUACCCCACAGGAUGAUGUGGCCUCUGUGGCCCUGCAAGUGUGUGGUGCACACACCCACACACGUCAGAUAAAUAAAGGUUAAAAAAGACCUAAAUUGUUAGUGUAUACGACCUAAACUUUUAGUGAUAUUAAAUUUUAUCAAUGUGGGGCUGGAGACGUGGCUUAGCAGUUAAGAGCACUGGCUGCUCUUCCAGAGGACCUGAGUUCAAAUCCCAGCACCCACACGGUGGCUCAUGACACGUAAAGGGAUCUGAGCUCCUGUUGAGGCGUUCAAGGGCACAUUAGAGCACUCACACAUAAAGCAAACAAGCAAAAACAUAAUUUUAAGAGUUUUAUCAAUGAGCUAAAUCUAUACCAACGACUGAGUUUUGCGGCAAGCAGACCAAGCGGCAGCAGUAUAAACUGUUUUUUCACGGUGGCUUCACGGUGGCUUUGCACAGAGGGUUUUCUUCAUUCUGCCCUAGGAAAGUGAAAUGUGGCUGCAGUCAGCAUGCACCUGGCUAUUUCAGCAACCAGGUGUGAAUUCGGUGAAAUUUCAUUUGGCCACUGAACCAAGGCAGAGCACACACAUGUGCUGAGGAGGAGACAGGGUGGGUUAUGAUAGAAGCACCCACGCACGCACGCGCGCACACACACACACACACACACACACACACACGUGUACUGACGAGACAGGGCGGGUUAUGAUGGAAGCACACACAAUUUUUGAACGCUUGUUUCGCACAAACACUGACACAAUCACAAACUGUGUGGGAUGAGCACACAACUCACUACCCGAAGCCGGACGCCUUUGAGAGUGAAAGCGGUGCUCUUAAGGCCAGGCUGAGGAGCGGAAGGCACCCUGCUCCGAGGCUGGAGCCUGGGGAACGACGGAGAAGCUGCAGCACGGUGCUCACACUCCCAGGUGCAAGGGAAAUGCUGAGCCACAGGGUGACCCUCUGGGGAAGGGACGCCCCGGGCUCUCAGGGAAACGGGGCUCCCGCAGAAGGAAGAGAGAGCAAGAACCCUAGAACUGAUUUGAUGUUGGGGAGCAGCGGGUAGUUUCCAGAGAUCAGGGGUGCCUGUGAGGCCCACCCAACCAAGGACCAGGGACUUCCUGGGACACUUGUAGCUCUUGGAAACACAGCGGCCGAACAACACACGCCUCAUCACCAUGCAGCUGGGAAUUCGAGGGAGUGGUCCUGACCAAAGCCCAUCCUGCUUCAAAUUGGGCUCAAAAUUGUGGAAAUGUUUGCGAACCUCAGGAUUAACAAUAAGCCUGUGAGACGGUAAAUGGCACGCAGGAGCCAUUUCUACAGUCUAAUUCCCCCACGACUGUGGCCAAAGCACAGCAACUGGUGACCGGGCAUUUGUGGAAGUGGUGACCAGUGAGAUGGCUGAGGGCCUCUCUGCGGCUCUAGCUCCGGUCUCUUUGAUGGCAAAGAUCACCCCCAGCCGGAAAGGCAGAACGUGCCAAAUCCGCCCCAUUUCUCCUAUAGCAUGUGACAUUGUCUCAGGGCUUGUGUUAGUCCGAAGCAGGGGCCCCAAAUGGCGGUGCGGGUGACAACAUAAGCUCUCUGGGUAAACACAGGGUUGUUACGGGAAAACGAACCUAAGCUUUGCUGGGGAAGCCACGACUUCCCUUAUCCAUCCCAAGGUUGACUACCCCGGCCUGGUGCAGAUCAAAGACGCCUGGCUAAGGCCCAGGCCGUUCUGCAUCUGCAGCUCCCCUCCCAGGCUGCCUGUCCCCUUAAGACAAACAGGCUUUGCUCUCGAACCCCUGCAGUUUGAGUUCUGCCUGCAGAAUGGUCUAGUUCAGAGGCUUCACUGUGUCCCUUUUACAGUUUGUAUCCCCAAGAUCUCAUAUAUUGAAAUAUCCCACACACACCCACACAUACCCACACAUGACCCUGUUAAGAUACAGGGGCUAUGGUCUCAUAAGUGGGAUUGAUGCCCUCACACUAGAAGCCCCAGAAAGCUGCCCUCCACGCCCAGCAUGGGGGCAGGCAGGCACGGUGACACAGCUCUCACGCAUGCUGAGUCUGACGCACCUUGCUCUUGGAUCGCUCCCUCUCCACAACGUUGAGCGAUUUCUGUUUUUCUAAAUUAUCUAAAUAAUUUGGAUCUGGAAUGUCCCCGAAGGUCUGUGUAUUACAGGCUUUGUCCCUAGAGCAGUGCUUUUGGGAGGGAUGUGGUCUCUAAGUUGGGGGCUACAUGGGGUAGCCUUUAGGCUCUUUGGGGUUGGUGUCCUCAAAUGGGUUAGCAAGACCCUGGCUCCUGAGUUUUUUCUUUGCCUCUUGGCCAUGAAGGGCAUGACUCUGUCUCUUGCCCCUCCUGCUAUAACUUGAGCUCACUUUCCCACAGAUCUAAAGCAACAGGGUCAAACCGGCCGUGAACCGGGACCUCCGCUCCGGAGAACCAAAAUAACCCUUUAUGUUGACAAGCGACUACGCCCAGGUAUUUUGUUAUAGCGGUGGGAACUGGAGUCACGCGGCGUCUCAGUUCCCUUCUCACGGCUGCCGCUGACUUGGACAAAAAGUGCCAAGAAAUGGUGUGCUCUGCUCCUAGGAAAUGCCAAGGGAUGUGGAAGCAUUUUGAAAUGAAAGUUGGACAAAAACUGAAUCACUGUCAGACCCUGAAGGGAGUUCUUGUAAGACGCAGAAGCGAGGAGUCACAGAGAACCCUCCGGUCUUCUCGGAGAUCACGAGAGGCAGGAACAGCACACGGGUGGAAGCCAGACCGUCAGGACCGUCCCGGUGGGCUGGGAGCAGGGAACCCCGAGACUGAACCCGAGGAAAGGGGAGCCUCCUUUCAAGGCGGCAGGAGGUUUAGUCCUGAGGUUCGGAACGAUGACAAGUCAGCUUGGCAGAUGGUGAGGAAGGUUCUCUGAGUUUGGCAUUCUGUCUUGACUGCCUGUAGAAAAUGUGAAAAAACAAACAAACAAAAAACAGAAGCAGAAUCUAAAAAUCCGGAACAUUCUCAGCAGCCUGGCCAUAUUGCAAAGAAUGAAAAAGACUGUUUGGCCACCGAAGAGGUGGACGGGGGGACUGUUGAUGCUACACCGCAAGACAAAGGGAAACAACGAAGCCAUCUUGGGGUCCUUCCCAGGCCAGAAUGCUAGGGCUGGGCGUGGGAUGCUUGCAUGGCCUCAGGGCUCUUUGGUUGCCCAAUCGUGGGUCAAGCCGUGGUUUGAGGCACAGCUCAGGCCACCUAGGGUGCCUGCAGAGGGCCAUCCGCGUGAAGGGCAAAGCUUGUUCUCUAUGAGCAUGGACACUUCAGCCUCAGUUUUAAAAGACACCCCAGUUAGCCUCAAGGCCAGGCAGAGAGCAGCGUCAGGGUGAGGACAGAUGGGGCUAGUAGGGAAGAUGAGGGCUACACAGUGGGAGAGUGUCCACGCUCCCUUUAGAAAGUCACCGGCUACCGAUCAGCGGUGCUGGAGUGCGAGGAGCUGGAAGCAGGACACUGGUUAAGGUUCUUAAAGUUCUGUCUGGGAAGUGCUGGUCGUGGCUGACCUUGGAGUGAUGGAGCCUGAGCGGAUCAGGCAGGCACAGGUGCUGGGGAACACGGAAAUGGCGUGAGAGGGCACUAACUUCUGCCCUCGGCACAGGAUGCUUAGGGGUCAGUGGUCAUGGAUUCUCUGUUGAAUAGGCUGAACUUGAGGGUCCCUUCCCGUGGGAUAACCAAGUGGAGGUGUCCGACAGGCUCGGCAGCCUGGACCUGGAAAGAGGGCUGACCUGGAGCCUGAGGUUGGAAGUCGCAGGCAGAGCUCGGGCCCCUGGUGACAGCACCCAGGAAUGCUUAGCGGGAGGUAAGUGCUAACAGCGCCCCAGGAAAGACAGACAGGAGAGGCGGCCACGGCUACCAAAACAUGGAAUAAUGGAAGCCGCAGAAGGGAUGCCAAGCCCUGAAUUCUCAUCUUGGAGAUGCUGCUGCCGGCUGGUACUGGCUGGAGACGGUUCCUGGCACGGUCGGCACAGCCCCUGCUGAAGAAGAGAGCUGGAGGCGGAAGGCAGAGGCCACCUCUGCCCUUUGUCGGUUAAAAAUAGCACCCAGAGCACAGGAAAUACAGUUGUAAAAGCUCUUGA